rnacentral:rRNA from 1 species
UACGAAGGGGGCUAGCGUUGCUCGGAAUCACUGGGCGUAAAGCGCACGUAGGCGGGUCUUUAAGUCAGGGGUGAAAUCCCGGAGCUCAACUCCGGAACUGCCUUUGAUACUGGAGAUCUUGAGUCCGGGAGAGGUGAGUGGAACUCCGAGUGUAGAGGUGAAAUUCGUAGAUAUUCGGAAGAACACCAGUGGCGAAGGCGGCUCACUGGCCCGGUACUGACGCUGAGGUGCGAAAGCGUGGGGAGCAACAGG